UACGGAGGGUGCAAGCGUUGUUCGGAAUUAUUGGGCGUAAAGGGCAGGUAGGUGGUCCCAAAAGUCUGCUGUGAAAGCCCCGGGCUCAACCUGGGAAUUGCAUUCGAGACUGCGUAGCUAGGGUGCGGAAGAGGGAAGCGGAAUUUCCGGUGUAGCGGUGAAAUGCGUAGAUAUCGGAAGGAACACCAGUGGCGAAAGCGGCUUCCUGGUCCAGCACCGACGUUCAGGCACGAAAGCGUGGGGAGCAAACAGG
rnacentral:rRNA from 1 species